AGUGAACGCUGGCGGUAGGCCCAACACAUGCAAGUCGAACGGCAGCACAGUAAGAGCUUGCUCUUACGGGUGGCGAGUGGCGGACGGGUGAGGAAUACAUCGGAAUCUACUUUUUCGUGGGGGAUAACGUAGGGAAUCUUACGCUAAUACCGCAUACGACCUACGGGUGAAAGCAGGGGAUCUUCGGACCUUGCGCGAUUGAAUGAGCCGAUGUCGGAUUAGCUAGUUGGCGGGGUAAAGGCCCACCAAGGCGACGAUCCGUAGCUGGUCUGAGAGGAUGAUCAGCCACACUGGAACUGAGACACGGUCCAGACUCCUACGGGAGGCAGCAGUGGGGAAUAUUGGACAAUGGGCGCAAGCCUGAUCCAGCCAUACCGCGUGGGUGAAGAAGGCCUUCGGGUUGUAAAGCCCUUUUGUUGGGAAAGAAAAGCAGCAGGUUAAUACCCCGCUGUUCUGACGGUACCCAAAGAAUAAGCACCGGCUAACUUCGUG
rnacentral:rRNA from 1 species